rnacentral:rRNA from 1 species
UACGUAGGGGGCAAGCGUUGUCCGGAUUUAUUGGGCGUAAAGAGCUCGUAGGCGGUUUGGUAAGUCGGGUGUGAAAUCUCCACGCUCAACGUGGAGGGGCCACUCGAUACUGCCAUGACUCGAGUCCGGUAGGGGAGCGUGGAAUUCCCGGUGUAGCGGUGAAAUGCGCAGAGAUCGGGAGGAACACCCGUAGCGAAGGCGGCGCUCUGGGCCGGUACUGACGCUGAGGAGCGAAAGCGUGGGGAGCAAACAGG